AUGAACGCUGGCUGCGUGCCUAACACAUGCAAGUCGAGCGGCAGCGAGGGGUGCUUGCACCCUGUCGGCGAGCGGCGGACGGCUGAGUAACGCGUGGGAACGUGCCCCAAAGUGAGGAAUAACUGCCCGAAAGGGUAGCUAAUACCGCAUAUUAUCUUCGGAUCAAAGGAUUUAUCCGCUUUGGGAGCGGCUCGCGUCGGAUUAGGUAGUUGGUGAGGUAAUGGCUCACCAAGCCGACGAUCCGUAGCUGGUCUGAGAGGAUGACCAGCCAGACUGGAACUGAGACACGGUCCAGACUCCUACGGGAGGCAGCAGUGAGGAAUCUUCCACAAUGGGCGAAAGCCUGAUGGAGCAACGCCGCGUGCAGGACGAAGGCCUUCGGGUUGUAAACUGCUUUUAUAAGUGAGGAAUAUGACGGUAACUUAUGAAUAAGGAUCGGCUAACUACGUG
rnacentral:rRNA from 1 species